rnacentral:sRNA from 1 species
UUGAGGGAUUCACUGGUACAUAUUGGAACUGAUGAUUGUGUUAGCUGUUUUAAAUGUGGUGGAGGCAUACGUAACUGGGAAGAGGACGAUGACGUCUGGGUGGAACAUGCCAGGUGGUUUCCGAGAUGUAGCUACUUAUGUGGCAAAAUGGGACACGAAUUUGUCAAUACAGUGCAAGAUCUAUACCAGAAUAAUGAUCAGGUAAAACGAUUCAUGGUUCUCGAAAGACUAAAUGUCCUUGAUGGCACUAUUUGUGAGUAGAUUUAUACUUUUUUUUUCCAUGACUUAUAAACUUGUAUUUCAACAGAGUGUGCUAGAUUUGGUCUACAUCUUUUUUAUUUUUUACUUACUUCGAAAGUCUGGAGAAAUCUAAAAGACUUAAAGACCACAAGUACACUUCGCACAUUAACACCCGUUAUUGUCACCCAGCGAAAGCUCAAAUUCAAAUACGCAACAAAAACAAUGGCUGACUUGCUAAAAGGCUUCCAUCAGUAGCUCCGAAAGGAAGUUACCAAAGUUCAAAGUCCUCAACAAAGUAUGGCAUGAGAGGAAGCCAGAUGACCCAGCCAGCCUGAGCUGGAUAGAGCGAUAGCAAAGUCUAAAGACAGCUCCGGGUCAGAUCGAAUCACCUCUGAGAUUUUAAAACACACCU